rnacentral:rRNA from 1 species
CCUACGGGCGGCAGCAGUCGAGAAUUAUUCACAAUGGGGGAAACCCUGAUGGGGCGACGCCGCGUGGGGGAAUGAAGGUCUUCGGAUUGUAAACCCCUGUCAUGUGGGAGCAAAUUAAAAAGAUAGUACCACAAGAGGAAGAGACGGCUAACUCUGGGCCAGCAGCCGCGGUAAUACAGAGGUCUCAAGCGUUGUUCGGAAUCACUGGGCGUAAAGCGUGCGUAGGCUGUUUCGUAAGUCGUGUGUGAAAGGCGCGGGCUCAACCCGCGGACGGCACAUGAUACUGCGAGACUAGAGUAAUGGAGGGGGAACCGGAAUUCUCGGUGUAGCCGUGAACUGCGUAGAUAUCGAGAGGAACACUCGUGGCGAGGGCGGGUUCCUGGACAUUAACUGACGCUGAGGCACGAAGGCCAGGGGAGCGAAAGGGCUUAGCUACCCUUGUAGU